GGUUUGUUACGUGUUUUUUAAUAUAUGGAUGAUGAAUGUUGUAAGAUGUUCUUUCUGCACCUAUUGAAAUGAUUAGUUUCCUCCUUUAUCCUGUUCAUAUGAUGUGUUAUAUUGAUAACUGAGUGCUAAAAUGUAUAUUUCUAAGAUAAUCCUCACUUGGUCAAAGUGUAUUGUCCUUUUCACAUUUUUCUGGAUUUGGAUUAUUAAUAUUUUGAGAAAAAUUUUGUCUAUGUUCAUGAGGGUUAUUGGCUACUGAUUUUUGGGGGCCACACCAAAACAGAAGUUCAGCUUGCAGAAGUUCCUGGGCCAGGGAUCAAACCCUCAGCACAGCAGUGACAACACCAGUUUCUUAACCCACUAGGUCACCAGAAAGCUCCAGUUCCUGAUUUUGUGUGUGUGUCAUGUCUCUGUCAAGUUGGGGCUUUUUUUUUUUCCAUUUUUUAAAGUUUUAUUGAAGUAUAGUUGAUUUAUUAUGUUGUGAUAAUUUCUGAUGUACAACAAAGGUACUCAGUUAUAUGUGUACUCACAUCCAUUGUUUUCCAAAUUUUUUUUUUUUUUUUUUUUUUUUGCUUUUGAGGGCCGCAUGUGCGGCAUAUGGAGGUCCCCAGGCUAGAGGUCAAAUCGGAGCUACAGCUGCCAACCUAUGCCACAGCCACAGCAAUGCCAGACCUAAGCUGUGUGUGCGACCUACACCAGAGCUCACGGCAGUGCCAGAUCCUUAACCCACUGAGCGAAUCCAGGGACCGAACCCGCAACCUCAUGGUUCCUAGUCGGAUUCGUUACCACUGUGCCACGACAGGAACUCCUCAGAUUCUUUUCCCACAUAGACCCUCACAGAAUAUUGGGUAGAAUUCCCUGUGCUACACAGCAGGUCCCUAUUGGCCAGUCAGUCCAUGUACCACAGUAUACAUACGCCAAUUGCGAACCCCCAGUCUAUCCCCCCCACCCCACUCCCAUCCGUUUUGGUAACCAGAAGUUUGUUUUCAAAGUCCGUGAGUGUUUCUGGUCUGCAAAUAAGUUCAUUUGAAUCCUUUUUUAAAGAUUACACAUAUAAGUGAUGUCAUAUCAUAUUUGUCUUCUGUCAGGUUUUGGUUUCAGGAUUCUCUCGACCUCAUAAAAACAGGACAGAAGUUGUUUCUUCAUCUGUUUUUUUGAGAAGGUAUAUACCCAGCAGAAAUGCAUCAAAAGACACGCACGAGAAGAAUGCUCUUCAAAACACUAUUCGUCACAGCCCAGACUGAAAAUAACACAGAUGUCCUCAAGCGUAGAAGACAGAACACAUUGCAGGGUAGGCGCAGUGGAAUACUAUACAGUCACGAAAUGAGCAAACUCUUGCUAAAUGUUCAGCAUGGAUGAAUCUCACAAACGUCAAAUAUUUUUUAAAAAAAGCAAAAUACCCAAACACCGACACAAAGGAUACCUACUGUGUUACUCCACUAUCGAAGUCAGAAACUAGGAAAAACCUGCAGGGACAGCAAUCAGAAUAACGGUUACCUUGGAAGGGUUUUUGUCUGGGAGGAAGCAUGAGGGAAGUUUCUGGGUGAUGUAAUGUUCAACAUCUUUAGUCAAUUGUGUUUACUCUGUAAAAACUCAUUGAACGGAGUAUCAAAGAUGUGUGCCCUUACUGUAAUGUUAUGCCUACAUUUUAGAAAUAUAAAAAUAUAAGAUAAUAA
rnacentral:lncRNA from 1 species